UCCUGCAGCUUUCAGAGAAAUGGAAAAUUGCCUAUCUUCUAGUUUCUCUUCUUCACUUUUAUGUACAGGAAAGCCUGGUAAUCAAGGAAGGGCAGAAAACAAAGCUGAAGCACACACCCGUAAUUGCAAUUGCCUUUUAAAAAGGGUCACACAUCAUGAUCUGAUGUUUCUUCCAGUCAUUCUCACUUCUUGGCCAUUUUUUUUUCAUAGAGAUCAAUGCAAAUGGUACCAAGGGGUCUGAAAAAACAGAUAGUAAAUAUGGCGAUGUGAAACUGGCUCACCUACCAACUGGCAAUUGAAAAAAGAUGAGAUCCUGAUUAGUAGAUGGGGCAUGGAGGAAUGGCAUGCUGAAUUGAUAAAAAAUUCUCAUUGAUGAUGUCCCAGUGGAGAAUGCUGUGACAAGUGACAAUGCAUUUGAAAAAUAUGGAGGAAACAACUCCUACAAAGGCAGCAAAGUUGGCUGGUUACUAAACUAAAUUUUAUUGACAACUGGCAGACAGAUAAUGAAG
rnacentral:lncRNA from 1 species